rnacentral:rRNA from 1 species
GACGAACGCUGGCGGCGUGCUUAACACAUGCAAGUCGAACGAAGUGGCGAACGGGUGAGUAACGCGUAAUCAACCUGCCCUUCAGAGGGGGACAACAGUUGGAAACGACUGCUAAUACCGCAUACUGAAGGAGGGGAUUGCGUCUGAUUAGCUAGUUGGAGGGGUAACGGCCCACCAAGGCGAUGAUCAGUAGCCGGUCUGAGGGGAGUAACGGCCACAACGGGACUGAGAACAGGCCCAGAACCCCACGGGAGGCAGCAGGGGGGAAUCGUCCUACAGGGAGGAAAGGCUGACGGAGCAACGCCGCGUGAGUGAUGACGGCCUUCGGGUUGUAAAGCUCGGUUAAUCGGGGCGCGGUACCGGAAUAGAAAGCCACGGCUAACUACGUGCCAGCAGCCGCGGUAAUAC